GGUGGGGAUGGCUCACGGAUUUGGACAGAUUUCAACCACUGACCUCACAGAUUUCAGUCAUGUUAUCUUGACAGGUGUGAAGUGUUUCUUCUCUCUGUUGCCCUUCUUCUAGAUUCUCUGCCUCUUUUACCACGAGGACUUGCACCCUUUUCUCCUCCUCUCUCCAGCUCAUCCCCUCUUCUGCCUCUUUUACCACGAGGACCUGCACCCUUUUCUCCUCCUCCUCUCUCUAGCUCAUCCUCUCUGCCUUCUGCCUCUCCUGACCAGCCCUCAAUGGCUUCACUGGUCUCUGGUGUGCAUAUGAUGUCUUACCUCCGUGUGCGGUGUGGGGCGGCACUGCAGGUAAGUAUAUCAGGAUAUAUCCUAUACAGGAUAUCACCAUGUGGUCCAUAUCUUAUGUUCUCCUCCUUGUGCUUUCUUGAGAGAGUGCUGUACUGCACUAACAUAUCCUUUCUGCAUUAUUAAACUUCUACACAACAGGUUGUCAUUGUAGGAACUAUUGAGUCUCUGAGCAUAAAUGCUUAGUAGUGAGGAGUUAUAUAUUGUAGAUAAGUUUUACAAUUCAUUCCACCCAAAAAAGUCCAGCAAGAAG